rnacentral:rRNA from 1 species
UUAAUGUCCAGGAGAGUGGCCCUCCGCAUGGAGGGUUGACUAGAGAUUUAUCGGUAUGGGAUGAGCUUGCGUCCGAUUAGCUAGUUGGCGGGGCAACGGCCCACCAAGGCGACGAUCGGUAGCCGGCCUGAGAGGGUGAUCGGCCACAUUGGGACUGAGAUACGGCCCAGACUCCUACGGGAGGCAGCAGUAGGGAAUAUUGCACAAUGGGGGAAACCCUGAUGCAGCAACGCCACGUGUGGGAAGAAGCAUUUCGGUGUGUAAACCACUGUCAUGAGGGAAUAAGGCCCGCCUCCGGGCGGGAUUGAAUGUACCUUGAGAGGAAGCACCGGCAAACUUCGUGCCAGCAGCCGCGGUAAUACGAGGGGUGCAAGCGUUGUUCGGAAUUACUGGGCGUAAAGGGAGCGUAGGCGGAGAUUCAAGCGGAUUGUACAAUCCCGGGGCCCAACCCCGGUUCUGCAGUCCGAACUGGAUCUCUUGGAUAGUUCAGGGGCAGGCGGAAUUCCUGGUGUAGCGGUGGAAUGCGUAGAGAUCAGGAAGAACACCGAUGGCGAAGGCAGCCCGCUGGGGACUUAUCGACGCUGAGGCUCGAAAGUGCGGGUAGCAAACAGGAUUAGAUACCCUGUUAGUCCGCACCGUAAACAAUGCAUACUGGGUGUCCGGGGGUUCCCCCGGGUACCGUAGCCAACGCGUUAAGUAUGCCGCCUGGGGAGUACGUACGCAAGUAUGAAACUCAAAGGAAUUGACGGGGGCCCGCACAAGCGGUGGAGCAUGUGGGUUUAAUUCGAAGCAACGCGCAGAACCUUACCAGGGGUUUGACAUGGGGAACGCCCCAGCGAGAGAUAAUCA